AAUAUUUUAACAGUGCUCUUUGUCUUAUCCUUUUUCUCUACUCUUAAUGCAAUCAUUCUUGAGAGACCAUCCAGGCGUAUAAUGCUAUGUCUAUAUGUUUCAAAUAUUGUGAGAGUUUUCUCAUUUUACAUUUUUGCACUACUGAUCUUUGAUAUUUUUGAAUCAUGGUUAAUAGAUUAUUCCUGUUUUCAUAUUCGAUCACAGAUUUAAAAUUUGCACUUUUAAAAUAGAUCAACAUCCAAUUCUUGCAAUGUCUUGUAAAUUCGAAAUGCAUGUAGUCCCUUAAGCAUGGUCUUGUAUUUGUUUUUUGAUUUUUUUAGUUAUUUAUAUUAAACAUUACAUUUCCUCACUUUGCAGGCUACUGAAACUUUGCUCAGGAUGUCUGUUUGUAGAGAAUACAUAUCUGGCAUUCCCCAUGGAGAAGUUUACAUAUUUGCUGCUGGCUUGGAAACCUUCUUAUACUUCUUUAGAAAUAAAACAACAUUUGCAUAAAGCCCUUGCAAAAAAGAUGAACCACAUUAUCGACCAAAAAAGCGACUUGUAGUCAACGAAUUGGUAUUCUGUUCGCAGCCAGCAAAACGUUCGUGUCCUUCUUCAUCAUCGUCAAGGAGCGUGAGAUGGAGUGACAUUUAAUCAAAAGUACUCGCUACGUCACAGCAAGAAUAUUUUGAUAGUUUAAAAUACUCACAUACUUCUGUGAACAAUUUAACGACAUAAAAUAAAUAAGAUUUGCUUUUUUACA